UACGGAGGGUGCGAACGUUAAUCGGAAUUACUGGGUGUAAAGGGUUCGUAGGCGGUGUGGCAAGUCGGGAGUGAAAUUUCUGGGCUCAACUCAGAGACUGCUUCCGAAACUGCUGUGCUUGAGUGUGGGAGAGGCGCGUGGAAUUGCAGGUGUAGCGGUGAAAUGCGUAGAUAUCUGCAGGAACACCCGUGGCGAAAGCGGCGCGCUGGACCACUACUGACGCUGAGGAACGAAAGCUAGGGGAGCAAACAGG
rnacentral:rRNA from 1 species